GGAUGCUUCGUCUAGCGGUAAGACACCCACUCAAAACGGACAGGAAUAGUAGGGCUCGGAGGCACCUCGUGGCACGGCCAUGGUGGCCUCGACCAGCUGCCUAUUGCCUCGUCAAGCGGGAAACCUGUGUCCGAAUCACAGAGCAUCCA